rnacentral:rRNA from 1 species
GACGAACCACACAAACGUUAUUCGGAAUUACUGGGCUUAAAGGGUGCGUAGGCGGCGCGGAAAGUUGGGUGUGAAAUCCCUCGGCUCAACCGAGGAACUGCGCCCAAAACUACCGUGCUCGAGGGAGAUAGAGGUGAGCGGAACUUAGGGUGGAGCGGUGAAAUGCGUUGAUAUCCUAAGGAACACCCGUGGCGAAAGCGGCUCACUGGGUCUUCUCUGACGCUGAGGCACGAAAGCUAGGGUAG